GACGGGGACCCGCACAAGCGGUGGAUGAUGUGGAUUAAUUCGAUGCAACGCGAAAACCUUACCUACCCUUGACAUGUCCGGAAUCCCGAAGAGAUUUGGGAGUGCUCGCAAGAGAGCCGGAACACAGGUGCUGCAUGGCUGUCGUCAGCUCGUGUCGUGAGAUGUUGGGUUAAGUCCCGCAACGAGCGCAACCCUUGUCAUUAGUUGCCAUCAUUUGGUUGGGCACUCUAAUGAGACUGCCGGUGACAAACCGGAGGAAGGUGGGGAUGACGUCAAGUCCUCAUGGCCCUUAUGGGUAGGGCUUCACACGUCAUACAAUGGUCGGUACAGAGGGUUGCCAACCCGCGAGGGGGAGCUAAUCCCACAAAGCCGGUCGUAGUCCGGAUCGCAGUCUGCAACUCGACUGCGUGAAGUCGGAAUCGCUAGUAAUCGCGGAUCAGCAUGUCGCGGUGAAUACGUUCCCGGGUCUU
rnacentral:rRNA from 1 species